rnacentral:lncRNA from 1 species
AUGCACAUGGUUGUCAUCAGAGAUACCAAACUACUGCUUCAUGAAGGACUAAGUGUGGCUGGUUUAAGGAAUGCUGUUGUUCCUGCUUCAGCUGGAAGGUGUGCACUUAACAUCUGUGUUGGUUUGUGCUUAGAUGUCAUCUGCAGCACAGGCAGUGCUAAACCAGCUAUCCCGUGUCAUGUGAACACGCUGGGAUAACGAGAGGCCCCUGACACCACCCAACACUAUAUAUAGCACAGAUGAGGGCUGAAUGUGCAUCUCCAAAUACACCAGCUCUCUGGCUUCAAGAUUAAGGGGUCGAGAAAGAUCGAAAAAUACGUAAGGGUCAAUAGCCUUAUUCUCAAUAUAACGCUAUCAUUUUCCACUUCCAUUACUGAUCUGAUUUGGCCUACAUAAGUAUAAGUCUGAUAUUAGAUCAGCUUUAAAGUCAAUGUGAAUCUCAUUUUAUAAUCCAUAUUUAUGGAAGCUGUUCAAAGACGCAAAACAUGCAACACAUUUGCUUCUCUCUUUUUUUUUUGGAAAUUGGCAUUAUUAUUAUUAUUAUAAUUCCACACACAGUUGUGGGCAGUUUCAUGGAAUGGCAUUAGUGAUGCAAAAAUGACAUAAUUCAGCUUUGUAUGAAUGGUGCUUUAUAAAUUAUUUUUAUUAGUUAAUAAGGACAAAUUCAUCAAAACAUGUAAUUCCGAAUUAGCGUUUUUCAUUUGUAAAAUAUUCAGUUAAACACAAACAUCUCUACUAUAGACUAAAUAGUCUGCAUGAAUACAUUUUAACCUCAAAUACACAGAAUCAGUAUUUAAAAACAAAACAAACAAAAAAUACUUAGGUUGUUAUAAAAAUUAAGACCCCUUUCAUUGUUUUCAUGAUCUACUGGCAGAGGAAAGCUUUAAGCACCAAAAAUUAGUCAUAUUUACAUAUUCAGUAUGUCCAUGAUUAGUUUUACAGAAUUUAUGAGAGCUUUUAAGACCUGAAGGCUGUAAACCGUGUGAUGUGUUGAAAUGAUAGUUAUUAGUUAAGGUCAUUAUUAAUCAUUUAUGCAUUGAAAUUCAACCCUGAAACCAUUGUAGCUGUACAUUUCAAUACAGGAUUGCCAGAAAAAGAAUUAGAAAAAGAACAGGCGUGCAUGGAUUACAAAAUUAUUUACAUAUUCCACGGAUGCAUAUUAUUCAGUGAUUUAAAAGUGCAUACAUUGAAUGUGAUUGUCUGAAAACAUUUCUUGAUAACGUUUCAAGCCCCUUCA